GUGGGGAAUCUUGCGCAAUGGGCGAAAGCCUGACGCAGCCAUGCCGCGUGAAUGAUGAAGGUCUUAGGAUUGUAAAAUUCUUUCACCGGGGACGAUAAUGACGGUACCCGGAGAAGAAGCCCCGGCUAACUUCGUGCCAGCAGCCGCGGUAAUACGAAGGGGGCUAGCGUUGCUCGGAAUUACUGGGCGUAAAGGGCGCGUAGGCGGACAGUUUAGUCAGAGGUGAAAGCCCAGGGCUCAACCUUGGAAUUGCCUUUGAUACUGGCUGUCUUGAGUACGGGAGAGGUGAGUGGAACUCCGAGUGUAGAGGUGAAAUGCGUAGAUAUUCGGAAGAACACCAGUGGCGAAGGCGACUCACUGGCCCGUUACUGACGCUGAGGCGCGAAAGCGUGGGGAGCAAACAGGAUUAGAUACCCUGGUAGUCC
rnacentral:rRNA from 1 species